CAGCCGGAUUAGCUACUUUCAUUGCUCGUUGAUCGGUUUUAUUUUCUUGGUCUACUUACCGCCACUGUAAGCUCUGAGGUGUUCAAGCUGCGCAGCCUGCCUUAUUGUACCUUGUGCCCUUCACUUUAUUGCCAUUACUCACAAUGGCAUAUUUGAAGGGAGAUUUGCGUCGGAUGUGGAGUGAACCAUUUAUAUCUCAACCACCUUCUAAACAUAUGGACGUUUGACAAGAGUCAUGACUUGCUGUAUAUUGCGCUGUAUCGGAGACAAAAUCCUUGCAUGAGAUUCACAUAACUUCACGUCCUUAUUUUCAUCAACGUCAUUUAAUGUAAGUAAUUUUUUCUAUACACACAUGCGCGCCCGCGCGCGCGAUAUACGUUUACAUUCUUUUUAAAGUCAAUACAGAGGACAAUUCAGAUCUAAGGGUCAAUGCAAUUAUUUGCAGUCUUAUCUAGUGUAAAAAUACAUAUACUGCAUAAAAAUAAUUUAUAAAUGUAACAUAAUGUCACACGAGUAUAAUGUUAGCGGUGCAAACAACUUUUUACCGAAACAAUAGAGGUCGACGAAUCCUUUCGAAAUAUUUCUGGAAUGCCAAAUGACACAUAUAUUAUUGGCAUUCUUUCUGUGUCUUAACUUGAUGUUGAGUAUAUGGAUAGAUAUUGUGCAUAUAAUAGAUAAUGCAAUCAGUAAUUAUUGUCAUUUCAAGCUACUACAUAAUAGCUAAAAGAAACUAUGUAUCAUGUGAUUGAUUUUACGAAUGAAAAAUGGUCUUUCACUUUUACUAUCAUCAUGACAAUUGAUAGAUUCUUGAGAUAUUUACUUCAGUUGAACAAAAAGUAUUGAACAGCUAAAUUACUUUUGUAAAAUUCAGUUACAAAUAAUUACAAGAUUCAUUUGAUUCAUUAUACUCAAUCGAUAUCGAAUUACUUGCAAAUAUUAUAUAUAGCUACGAAUAGAAUAAUUUAUAAACUAUUUGAGCAUUUGGAUAAGAAUCCAAUACACACACAUGCGUGUAGGUUGUGACUUUAUUUAAAGCUGAUUUAAACUCGAUUGAGCAAAGUAAUUAUGCUAAAAUAAUUGUGUAUAUAUUUAUUAUAUCAUUUUUAUAGAUUUAUGGGCACGACUUUGCGAUUUGCAGUAAUGAAUAGCACGCUUUUCAAUACUGUGUUUUGUUUUGCUGUUUGUUUGUUGAUCAAACUAUUUUUUAUUUCGAGAUUAGUUUCACGCAUUGUCAUUCUCAACGUGUAAGUAGGAUGUAAUAUGAAACUGUGCAUUGUUAAAGAUAAUUACAGGAAGGUUUGUUUAAACAAAAAGGCUUUCUAAACGAGCUCUUGCUAUGGAUAGGCUAUCGAAAAGACUUUAUAUGUUUAUUUAAGGACAAGACUGAAGAUAAUAUGUACGAAAGCCAAUCUAUUAAGUGAUUUCUCUGAAAGAUAAAUAAUUUUUUCCAUUCUACCUUUCUCUUGGAUCAAUUUAUAGUAUCUUAGAUUAAAUGAAAUAAUAUAAUAUAUUCUAAUGUAAUAAUAUAACAUUGUCUAAGAAAGGUAGAAUAAUAAAUGCUCUUUCAUAUUGUCUUUUGCUUUAAAAUAAGUUAUGUAAAAUAUUCAUAGUCACAAAUCAAUUAGAUACAUAUAAUGAUCUGAAAUUAAUUUCAUUUUUACAUCAUUGUAUUUAGCAAAUUAGUAUACACACACACAUACACAUUAUGCAUAUACAUGUAAUAACACAUACACAAAAUUGAUUAAUAAGUUGUUAAAUACAAUGACGUAAAAGCAUGAAAUUGCACACACACAUAUACACAACAUUCACACAUCAAAAUAAUAGUUUUACAAUUUGUUCUUUAGAUAAAAAUUAUAUUAACAUGACUUCGAGCCAAACGUAAGUAAAACAAUUCAAAUAAUUAUAGGCUCUAUUUAUUAGUUUAAAAAAUUCAAUGUUUCCGUUCCACGUUUGUUUUCAAUAAAUAAAAGUAAAAAAAAUGAAAUAAAAAUACAUAAUCGUGUGUUUUUCAUAGCAACAUUUGCAAUGUUUACUUUGACAAGUGCGUUUCGUUUUCAGGGUUUUCCACACAUCUUUGCACUUUUCUCGAGAAAAUUUAUUGUUAUUGCUUUACAUUCUCAAUUUACAUUCUUUCUCUUGAAGGCGGAAAUAUGUCUGGAGGCAUCUCUAAUGAAAAUUUGUGAGGGAUUUCAGGACUUUAUCUAGAUAUGAUUACACGAUUAUAUAUUUUUAUAUCGUCCCCCUUAUUAAAGAUGUCUCGAAGUGGAACCACAAAACGUUUAAUUUUUUAAACUAAUAAACAGCCUACAAUUGUUCGAAUUUUUUUACUUUCGUUUGGCUUUCAUUAAAAUCGUUUCUAUACUUAUGUUAAUAUAUUCAGCAUUUUUUGUUUUAAUGAAAAAUUAUUUUUAUUUUAAAUUCUUCAAAAAUACUUUUCUCCAAUCGUUAGAAAUUUGCGAAAAAAUAUAAUAGGAAGAGUGAUUCAAACAAAUUUAAUCUAUUUAUUCAUAUAGUAAUAUAGAAAAAUUUAUACUAAAAAAAAUCCAAGUUUUGUUUUAAUUAAUACAAAGAAGGCAUACCAUUGAAUAAGAUCCCGUUAAUUUUGUAAUGUUUUCAUCAUUUUUCAUUUGUCUACCUGUCCAUAGCACAAGCAAUUUGUUUUCCAUCGUUAUCUCAUAUUUAUAUUGAUCAUUUUUUAUAUUUUAAUUAUAAUUACUUAUACACACACGUACACAUAUGAGUAAUGAAAUAUAUUUUAAUUACUUCCGUUAUUCGGUAAACAACUUAUAAUGACGCGUUUGUAAAAUGAUUUAUUUUAUAUAUAUUUUGUUAUAUUUGAAAGAGAGCGCUUAAUUGUGUUCAGAUCAUCAGUUUCUCAACAAUAUGUGAUCUUUUUUGAACAAAUUACGUACAUUAUGAUAUGCCGUUUAUAGUUCUGUAAUGUAUGUUUAAAUUUUUUCUUCCAAUAUGUACAUACGAAAUAACUUCGAUAGAGAAAGAGGCGCAAACUUAGCAACAUUUAUGCGUCACGCCUCUAUGAAGAGAUUUUACUUGUUAAGCAAAUUAAUCGAAUGCAAUGAAUUUUUUAUUAGUACAAUGUAGUGUAUCUUUAAGAGAAAACAUUCAAGUUUUCAAAUGUAGAUUAGUGCAAUACAAUUUAUAAUUUAUACCACAACAGAAUCGUAAUACUUUUGUUAUAAUAAAAAUAAUUCUACUUCUCGAUUCGUUUUCACAACGAGACUCCUCCUUAAAACGAUGAAUGUUUUUGUACAAAACAAGUUAAGGCAUAAUACUACAUAGAAAGUGUUUAUAAUAAGAUUGUAACUUAGUUUAUGGUAAGAAUGAGAGGUACAUUAAUUAUAUGUAUAUCUUAAUUUUUGUUUCAAUACAUGUAACAAAUCACAUUUUGUUGUACAUCUCCUAUAAAGUCUGAUGAUUUAUUUAUUGAGUAGAAUUGUACAAGUACUACAAAAAAUGCUCAUUAUGUAAAUUUCAGGAAGUGUAUAUAUAAAACGAUUAUUCACAACUGUCAUUCAUUUUUUCCACAAACUAAGUGAUGAGAUAAAAAAAUAUUAUAUAUUAAUAACAUGACAUAUGAUAGAAACGAAAUGAUCAAGGAACAGGUUUAAAUAAAAAAUCAAGAGUUAAACCGUAUAUACACACAGAAUAUUAUUAAAUGCUGGAUAUUAUAGGUAACAUACUAAAAAAGCACUUGCUUGUACUGUUGCAAUUCUUGACUUGCAUGUGUACAGCUAAUGUACAUUUUUUAUAUAUAAUAAAACUUGACCAUUUUCGUAUGUGGUCGCGUUUGAAAAGUAAAAGUUAUUGAUAACAAA